rnacentral:rRNA from 1 species
UACGAAGGGUGCUAGCGUUGUUCGGAAUCACUGGGCGUAAAGCGCGCGUAGGCGGCGAUACAAGUCAGAGGUGAAAGCCUGGAGCUCAACUCCAGAACUGCCUUUGAAACUGUAUUGCUAGAGUGUCGGAGGGGAUAGCGGGAAUUGCUAAUGGUAGAGGUGAAAUUCGUAGAUAUUAGCAGGAACACCGGUGGCGAAGGCGGCUAUCUGGGACGACACUGACGCUGAGGCGCGAAAGCGUGGGGGAUCAAACAGGG